rnacentral:rRNA from 1 species
UACGGAGGUGGCAAGCGUUGUUCGGAAUUAUUGGGUGUAAAGGGUGUGUAGGCGUCCUAUCAAGUCUUCUUUUAAAUACUCUGGCUCAACCAGAGAACUGGGGAGGAAACUGAUGGGAUUGAGUACAGGAGAGGAAAGCGGAAUUCCCGGUGUAAGGGUGAAAUCUGUAGAUAUCGGGAGGAACACCAGUGGCGAAAGCGGCUUUCUGGCCUGAUACUGACGCUGAAACACGAAAGCUAGGGGAG